ACAACACCCCCUGUACUACCACACCUAGACACACAGCUGAAACAAAAAUAAGAAAUAUGAAUUAGGAAUUUGAAUAAGAAAUUUUAAAUUAGGAAUUUGUUGUUAGUUUGUGUUUCUAAAAUUUUGAAUUUGUACGCUAUGUUUGUAUGAUUGUGUUUCUAAACUUGUUAUUAUUUGUUUUGAUGCCAAGUCUGUGGUUAGGUGUUGGAAGCUUUGAUGUUGGUGAGGUGUUGGAUCAAAAUCACAGGGCAAUUGCUAACUUGGACUUAAAUGCCGAAUCAGAGCAUUAAUAAAAAUGGAGCUUGGGAAGAAGUUGAUUGCAAAAAGAUACCCUCAUUCAUGUUGUCGAUGAAGUGAUUAAUAAAUUCCAGAUAAGCAGCGGAUAAACAAAGAAGCAGAAUCCCACUAAACAGUGCAUAUCAUUUUGCCAUAAUAACAACAUGAAUAUCUAGGAGCAGCUGGACAAGGGAACUAUUUUAGAAGAUUCUUUUGCAAUGUCUAGAAUUUGACGGAGAUCUAUCUAGGAACUUCUUGGUGUGUUGCUCAACUUGUCGGUGGUCCUCUUGAAGUUUCGGCAUCAUGAACAACAAAAUUUUUUAUAUUUAAGUUUAGUUUGUACAAAUAGCUAGAUUACUUUGUAUUAGACUUAUAUUAGGAAUGGUUUGGAUGAUGAUGUUGUGACAGCCUGAGUGCUGCUUUUGAAUUGGUGUUAUGAUUAUGAAUGAAAUUGAUGCUUGAAUUUGUGGCAUAAAAACAUGCCUGA